rnacentral:lncRNA from 1 species
CAGGAGUGAAGGGCUCACUGGGUCUGUUGAGAACCAGGUCAGAUCAGGAGGUCGAGGUCACACCUGGGGCCCUCCGUGAGCCUGGUCUGGUACGGAAGAAAUUCCCCCUACUCUUCUAGAACUCAUCUGGUGUCGAGUGUAUCAGGUAGUGUUGGAUGGGCAAGAGAUCUUCUGGGAGCCAGGGGAGAGAGAGACAGCUUGGUUAUGGACAGAGCUCUAGAGCGACAGCUACACCCGUCUUGAAUGGAGAGGUACCUGCCGGACACUCCAGGAAGCCUGAAAUACAGGGAUGCCUAUGACCCACAGAAAGCCACACCAACCACCGGUCCCCUUCCCAGUCUACAGAGCAAAUGUCAAGUAACUCAGAUGGAGAGGGUAGAUUUGGUGCUAUGACUGCACCGGAGGUGGCUGCUGAUGGUGACAAAGACAGCCUGGAAGCAGGAAGGCUGGGCCCUGGAAUCACAGGUGUUAGGAAAUGGUCAGCUUGGAGACCAUCUGAUCCAGCCCCUCCAUUUACAGAUGAGGAAACCAAGGCCCAGAGAGUGGAAGGCACUGUCAUACGGCCACAUAACCUUAUCUGGAGCUCUUCUCCAAAGGCUGUUUCAGGGUUGCUGCUUGUUUCCAGGAUCCAG